UACGGAGGGUGCAAGCGUUAUCCGGAUUCACUGGGUUUAAAGGGUGCGUAGGAGGGUGAGUAAGUCAGUGGUGAAAUCUUCGAGCUUAACUCGGAAACUGCCGUUGAUACUACUUGUCUUGAAUAUCGUGGAGGUGAGCGGAAUAUGUCAUGUAGCGGUGAAAUGCUUAGAUAUGACAUAGAACACCAAUUGCGAAGGCAGCUCGCUACACGAAUAUUGACUCUGAGGCACGAAAGCGUGGGGAUCAAACCGG
rnacentral:rRNA from 1 species